rnacentral:rRNA from 1 species
GUUAAGUCCCGCAACGAGCGCAACCCUCGCCCUCUGUUGCUACCGGGUCAUGCCGGGCACUCUGAGGGGACUGCCCCGGUGAACGGGGAGGAAGGUGGGGAUGACGUCAAGUCCUCAUGGCCUUUAUAUCCAGGGCUACACACGUGCUACAAUGGUCAGGACAAUGGGUCGCUCCCUCGCAAGAGGUUGCCAAUCUCAAAAACCUGGCCCUAGUUCGGAUGGUCGGCUGCAACUCGCCGGCCUGAAGCUGGAAUCGCUAGUAAUCGGAGAUCAGCACGCUCCGGUGAAUACGUUCCCGGGCCUUGUACACACCGCCCGUCACACCACGAAAGCUGUGUGUACCAGAAGUCGCUGGGCCAACCCCUUCGGGGGAGGUAGGCGCCUAAGGUAUGCGGGGUAAUUGGGGUGAAGUCGUAACAAGGUAAAGCCA